UACGUAGGGAGCAAGCGUUGUCCGGAAUUACUGGGCGUAAAGCGCGCGUAGGCUGUUGUGUAAGUUGGGGGUGAAAUCCCACGGCUCAACCGUGGAACAGCCCUUGAUACUGCGCGACUUGAAUCCGGGAGAGGGUGGCGGAAUUCCAGGUGUAGGAGUGAAAUCCGUAGAUAUCUGGAGGAACAUCAGUGGCGAAGGCGGCCUGCUGGACGGUGACUGACGCUGAGGCUCGAAAGCGUGGGGAGCAAACAGG
rnacentral:rRNA from 1 species